GAUGAAGAACGCAGCGAAAUGCGAUAAGUAAUGUGAAUUGCAGAAUCCAGUGAAUCAUCGAAUCUUUGAACGCACAUUGCGCCCGCCAGCAUUCUGGCGGGCAUGCCUGUUCGAGCGUCAUUUCAACCCUCGACCUCCCUUUGGGGAAGUCGGCGUUGGGGACCGGCAGCACACCGCCGGCCCUGAAAUGGAGUGGCGGCCCGUCCGCGGCGACCUCUGCGUAGUAAUCCAACUCGCACCGGAACCCCGACGCGGCCACGCCGUAAAACACCCAACUUCUGAACGUUGACCUCGUAUCAGGUAGGACUACCCGCUGAACUUAAGCAUAUCAAUAAGCGGAGGA
rnacentral:misc_RNA from 1 species